GAACGAACGCUGGCGGCAUGCCUAACACAUGCAAGUCGAACGAGACCUUCGGGUCUAGUGGCGCACGGGUGCGUAACGCGUGGGAACCUGCCCUUAGGUUCGGAAUAACUCCCCGAAAGGGGUGCUAAUACCGGAUAAUGUCUUCGGACCAAAGAUUUAUCGCCUUUGGAUGGGCCCGCGUUGGAUUAGCUAGUUGGUAGGGUAAAAGCCUACCAAGGCGACGAUCCAUAGCUGGUCUGAGAGGAUGAUCAGCCACACUGGGACUGAGACACGGCCCAGACUCCUACGGGAGGCAGCAGUGGGGAAUAUUGGACAAUGGGCGAAAGCCUGAUCCAGCAAUGCCGCGUGAGUGAUGAAGGCCUUAGGGUUGUAAAGCUCUUUUACCCGGGAUGAUAAUAACAGUACCGGGAGAAUAAGCUCCGGCUAACUCCGUG
rnacentral:rRNA from 1 species